rnacentral:rRNA from 1 species
UGCGUAGGCGGAUUUAUAAGUCAGUGGUGAAAUCCUACAGCUUAACUGUAGAACUGCCAUUGAUACUGUAGAUCUUGAGUACGGUUGAGGUGGGCGGAAUGUGUCAUGUAGCGGUGAAAUGCUUAGAUAUGACACAGAACACCAAUUGCGAAGGCAGCUCGCUAAACCGUAACUGACGCUGAGGCACGAAAGCGUGGGUAGCGAACAGGAUUAGAUACCCUGGUAGUCC